GGGAAAAGGAUUGGCUCUGAGGGUCGGGCCUGGGAGUCCUUGCCUGGGGGUGGUGCGCGGCUGCUGGCGGACUGGCCUUCACGGGCUGGACUGCUGGCGGCUGCUGCUGCCUCUAGCAGGGAAGCGCUGUCUGCCUUCGGGUGGGCAGUGCGCUUCCCAGUGCGCUGAACGACCAGCUCAGAACUGGAGCGGACAAGGGGAAUCCGACUGUUU
rnacentral:rRNA from 1 species